CUUGAGCGACCCCAGGUAGAGCGGGUCGCCGGUGCGGUCGCGGCCGUAGGUGGCGAUCAGCGCCUGCGCCUC
rnacentral:antisense_RNA from 1 species